rnacentral:rRNA from 1 species
GAUCAUGGCUCAGGACGAACGCUGGCGGCGCGCCUAACACAUGCAAGUCGAACGAGCGAGAGAGAGCUUGUCUUUCUCGAGCGAGUGGCGAACGGGUGAGUAACGCGUGAGGAACCUGCCUCAAAGAGGGGGGACAACAGUUGGAAACGACUGCUAAUACCGCAUAAGCCCACGGCUCGGCAUCGAGCAGGGGAAAAGGAGCAAUCCGCUUUGAGAUGGCCUCGCGUCCGAUUAG